rnacentral:rRNA from 1 species
GACGGAGGAUGCAAGUGUUAUCCGGAAUCACUGGGCGUAAAGCGUCUGUAGGUGGUUCGAAAAGUCCACUGUUAAAAAUUGAGGCUUAACCUCAAAGAUGCCGUGGAAACUUUCAAACUAGAGUAUGGUAGGGGUAGAGGGAAUUUCCAGUGGAGCGGUGAAAUGCGUAGAGAUCGGAAAGAACACCAACGGCGAAAGCACUCUGCUGGGCCGACACUGACACUGAGAGACGAAAGCUAGGGGAGCGAAUGGG